rfam:Loktanella marina strain CECT 8899 genome assembly, contig: 0004
GGAGACGUGGCCGAGUGGUCGAAGGCGCUCCCCUGCUAAGGGAGUAGGCCCGGAAGGGUCUCGUGGGUUCGAAUCCCAUCGUCUCCG